UACGGAGGGUGCAAGCGUUAUCCGGAUUUACUGGGUUUAAAGGGUGUGUAGGCGGGCUUUUAAGUCAGUGGUGAAAUCUCCGGGCUCAACCCGGAAACUGCCAUUGAUACUAUUAGUCUUGAAUUCUGUUGAGGUAGGCGGAAUAAGUCAUGUAGCGGUGAAAUGCUUAGAUAUGACUUAGAACACCAAUUGCGAAGGCAGCUUGCUAAACAGAUAUUGACGCUGAGGCACGAAAGCGUGGGGAUCAAACAGG
rnacentral:rRNA from 2 species